rnacentral:misc_RNA from 1 species
GUAAAUUGCUAAAACAAAAUUUGCAUUAUCUUUAAAAUAAAAUGUAUAUAUGAACGCCUUCCCCUUCCAUUCCAAUAAUUCAUCCUUGGAUUGUACUAACUAAUCCAUAUGUAUUAUGUCUACUGAAGCAGAAUAUACUGCAUCAAAUAGCAUAUGCCAUCUUUUCCUCCAUUACAAAGAUCCAUCCUACACUAACCAAAGCCAAAGGGCAAAGGCUAUGCGAACUGCCCAGAGAGCCUUAUUGGCUGCAAACUGAAUCCUACAAAGUUGCCUUGUAUUAGUAACAAAAAUGAAAUAAAACUGCCCACAAUAUGCAUGAGAUCAACCCAAAACCAUUCAUAACACAGACCAAUUGGUUGAUAUUAGUUUCUAUUUUGAUGGCCAUGUAUGACUUGUAUGGGUCAGAAUAGGAAAGCCACUGCCAGUUAACUAACAAUUUACAUUUUACAACUAGGCAGAAAGCACAGUUCCAACCCAGAUGAACCACAAGACCAGUUUCAUUUCAACCUAAAAAGUUCUUCAAAAUUUUGUCAAAUGAACCUAAGCACUUCCCCAAAUUUUACUCUUUUCUCAUAAGAAAUAAGUAAUAACUACCUCGAAUGGCUGAUUUGGAAGCAUUAUGCAAAUCAAACCCCAUUCUGGUGAUUGUUAAGAUAUCCUUCCAACUUUCCCGUCGCUGCCAAUAUGAAACCUAAAAAUAGAGGUGAGGGCCUUCGGGGACGUGAUUUGAACUCUGGAUGAAACUGCACACCUAUAUAAAAAGGAUGACUUGGAAGCUCUAAAAUCUCCAUUCUCUUUCUUGUUUCAUCCUUCCCAACAAACUUUAAACCUCUUUCUUCUAGAACUCCAAUUACGUCAGGGUUUACCUCAUAUCUAUGACGAUGCCGUUCAUCUACAUACUGGGGAUUACCAUACCUAGCAAUUAAAAUCAAUUAAAACAAGUGGAUGCAAACACCAAAAUAUUCAAAUCACACAGGCGGUUCAUUAUGUCCCAGCAACAGUAGCAGCCUCAAAUCUAACAUGCAGCAGCACGUAACUGGUUGAAUUUAGCAGUAAUACAAUCAGGGGUCUGGAAAAAAGUCUUCCGGGAUCCUAAUCUCAUUGUGCUUCCCAUGUGUGUUGUUGAACCCUCAGGCAUGAACAUCACAACACGGUCAGCUGUUUGGGCAUCAAACUCCUCGCUAUUUGCUCUUUCCAUACCCAAAGCGGAUCUAGCAAACUCAAUAACAGAAAUCUGCAUGCCUAAGCAAAUCCCAAGGUAAGGAAUAUUGUUCUCUCUGGCAUACUUGGCAGCCAGUAUCAUUCCUCUCACACCACGAUCUCCAAAACCUCCUGGCACUAAGACACAUGCUGCAUUCCUCAAAGUCUCCCAAGCAGCAGCAUGAGCUUCUGGUGUCAAUUUUGCACUGUCAUCUUCAAGAUCUGAAGCUGCAAUCCAAUCAAUUGAUGGCUUCAAUGAACAUGCAAUACAAGCAUGUAGAAGGGCCUUCACAACAGAUAGAUACGAAUCUGUCAGGCCAACAUACUUCCCAACCAUUGCAAUCCUAACAGAAUUGGUGAGAUUAUCAUAAGUCUCAGCCAUCUUGGUCCAAUCUUGUAAAUCAGGAGGUGUUGCAAUGCUGAAAUAGAACAUUAUGACUAGUUAGCUAACCUGAUCAACCUUCUUGCAAUCAAUAUCUCAUUCAUAGUUUUUACCACACAUUUUGUUUUGCAAGUGUCCAACAAGUUCAAUUGUUAGCUAUACCGCCAAUAAUCACAAUAUAAAAGGCAAAAAGAAAUGUAAUCAAUCAAAAGAAUUAAAAUUUAGCUAGAAUCAAUUUUAUAACUAGCUUUAUUUCAUCGUACAACAAAAUUUUGGUUGGGUUGAGGUUGAUUAGUGCCACAACUAAAAGAAAAUUUUACCUGAGCAAGUUAAGUUGUUUUAGAAUUGCAUGAUGACCAUUUUGGUUCUGUAAAAUAAAAGCAUAUCAAACAAAAUUAAAACACACAUGAAUUGUUGAGAAAAUGUAUCAGGCCUAAUUCCACCCCAAAAGGAACCUUAUGAGGGAAAGAUUGCCCAAGUCAUAUGGAAAGCACAUUUACCCAAUACCCAACCAAUGUGGGACUUAACACACCCCCAAUGAAAUUUGUAGGAUUACACAUUUUUAGGUGGCCCAACAUCGAGAGUGGAGACCAUGUUGAUAAAUGGAUUAGGCUUGACUCCACCUUAAAAGGCACCUUAUGGGAGAGUAUUGCUCGAGUCAUAUAAGAAGCACUUUUGCGUAAUACCCAGUCAAUGUGGGACUUAACAUGAAUGAAAAAAAGAAUCUGAAAAGAUUAAGCUUCCAAGAACCAAAGAACUAACAUGCAACCUACCAUAAGUAAUAGAGGGAUAUGCCAAAUGUUUGGAACAUCAUGGAUAUUGAGAAUAUUAGCAGCCUGCAAAGAUUAUGAAUAGAUAUAUAACAUCAAAUAAAUAAAAGACAUAAAUAUCACUAGAAAGGUUUAAAAAAAAGUUCAUAGAGCUUACCGGAACAUGACAAAACUGAGAAAGUUUCUCUUUCGUAUUUUCCAACAAAGGCUGCAACAUAAUUAGCAAAAUUUAUUCUAAUGCCUAAACUAUCAAAUUUAGCCUUAAACUAAAUGUUAGUAAAAGCAAAGCUAAUAAUGUCAUUAUAACUAGCACAUAAAAGAAAUACACAAGGACUUCAAAAUGUUCAGUAGUGGAAAUCUAGGUAAAACUUGGGUAACACAAACUAAUUCAGCUGUGUAAUCAUCAAAAGAAGCAUAGCCACACAUCUAAAGAUAAUCAGUGUUUACAAGUUUCAGGAGAUUUACGACGAUACAAUAGUAUAUACAGGAACUAAAAUGACAAAGCUGAUAUACUGGGUCUCAAAAAUGAGUUGUUCAAGGCUUCAAGCAAUUCUCAAUGAAAUACUGCAAAGAUUCUUUGGCCAAAGAAUUCUGCUCAAUAAUCCUCUUGCAAAAGUAUAGAUAUCACACAGGGGAAAUUGACUUACCUGAGCAGACCGACAUGCCAAUAGGUGUGGAGUCAAGCCUAAUGCUCUCAAUUCACGGACACUGUGUUGUGUAGGCUUAGUUUUUUGCUCUCCAACAACUCCUAACACAGGUAUCAGGCUCACAUGCACAAGACAGAAAUUAUCAUGUCCAACUGAAAAGGACAGUUGACGCAAAGCCUCAAUGAAUGGCAUUGAUUCUAUGUCACCUACAGUUCCUCCCAAUUCUAUCACACACACAUCUGCAGGGCCCUCUUGUCCAUCCACAGGAAUGACAGCAACCGACUCAACCCAAUUUUUAAUGGCAUCAGUGAUGUGUGGAACCACCUGAACAGUCUUUCCAAGAUAAUCACCUCGCCUCUCCUUCUCAAUCACAGACUGAAAUAUCUUUCCUGUGGUAAUGUUGUUAUCCCUUGUAAGUGUCACAUCCAGGAACCUCUCAUAGUUACCCAAAUCUAAAUCAACCUCUCCGCCAUCAUCAAGAACAAAGACCUCCCCAUGCUCGAAGGGGGACAUGGUACCAGCAUCAGUAUUCAGGUAAGGAUCUAUUUUGAUGGAGGUGACUCGAAGGCCGCAAGCUUUAAGGACGACGCCUAUGCUGCUAGCAGUGACGCCCUUGCCGAGCCCACUGACGACUCCUCCUGUCACCAGCACGUACUUCAUUGCUCUAUCCGUGCGGCUUGGGCUUUGGCUUAUGUGGCGGUUCUCCUCUGUCUCCGUGUGUAGGCAAAGUGUUUGGAUUAAUGUCCGAGCAGGAAAACUACAGUUCCACAAUUUGCUUCCUGCAAACUUGCUUCGGAAUCUUAACAAACCUAAGGAAGAAGAACGGACUGCACUCAAAGACUUGGGGGUAAGCAGGUAUUUAUACAUUCUUUUUUGCCCUUUUCCCUCUCUCCCCUGAAAUUUGGUUUUAAC